GAUGAACGCUGGCGGCGUGCCUAAUACAUGCAAGUCGAGCGAACGGACGAGAAGCUUGCUUCUCUGAUGUUAGCGGCGGACGGGUGAGUAACACGUGGAUAACCUACCUAUAAGACUGGGAUAACUUCGGGAAACCGGAGCUAAUACCGGAUAAUAUGUUGAACCGCAGGGUUCAAAAGUGAAAGACGGUCUUGCUGUCACUUAUAGAUGGAUCCGCGCUGCAUUAGCUAGUUGGUAAGGUAACGGCUUACCAAGGCAACGAUGCAUAGCCGACCUGAGAGGGUGAUCGGCCACACUGGAACUGAGACACGGUCCAGACUCCUACGGGAGGCAGCAGUAGGGAAUCUUCCGCAAUGGGCGAAAGCCUGACGCAGCAACGCCGCGUGAGUGAUGAAGGUCUUCGGAUCGUAAAACUCUGUUAUUAGGGAAGAACAUAUGUGUAAGUAACUGUGCACAUCUUGACGGUACCUAAUCAGAAAGCCACGGCUAACUACGUG
rnacentral:rRNA from 1 species